rnacentral:tRNA from 1 species
GCAAUGAUGGCUCAGUGGUAGAAUUCUCAUCUUUCACGUGGGAGACCUGGGUGCCAUUCCCAGCCAGUACA